rnacentral:rRNA from 1 species
CUGGCUCAGGAUGAACGCUAGCUACAGGCUUAACACAUGCAAGUCGAGGGGCAGCAUUGGAGUAGCAAUACUUCAGAUGGCGACCGGCGCACGGGUGAGUAACACGUAUCCAACCUGCCGCUUACUCGGGGAUAGCCUUUCGAAAGAAAGAUUAAUACCCGAUGGUAUAAAGAGUUCGCAUGUUCUCUUUAUUAAAGAAUUUCGGUAAGCGAUGGGGAUGCGUUCCAUUAGAUAGUUGGCGGGGUAACGGCCCACCAAGUCUACGAUGGAUAGGGUUCUGAGAGGAAGGUCCCCCACAUUGGAACUGAGACACGGUCCAAACUCCUACGGGAGGCAGCAGUGAGGAAUAUUGGUCAAUGGACGAGAGUCUGAACCAGCCAAGUAGCGUGAAGGAUGACUGCCCUAUGGGUUGUAAACUUCUUUUAUAAGGGAAUAAAGUGAGGGACGUGUCCCUUUUUGUAUGUACCUUAUGAAUAAGGAUCGGCUAACUCCGUGCCAGCAGCAGC